GCCCGCCUAGCUCAAUCGGAUAGAGCGUCAGACUCUUACGGCGGUGUCAUCUGAAGGCUGCGAGUUCGACCCUCGCGGUGGGCU